rnacentral:rRNA from 1 species
AUUGAACGCUGGCGGAAUGCUUUACACAUGCAAGUCGAACGGCAGCACGGGGGCAGCCCUGGUGGCGAGUGGCGAACGGGUGAGUAAUACAUCGGAACGUGCCCGGUCGUGGGGGAUAACGUAGCGAAAGUUACGCUAAUACCGCAUACGACCUGAGGAUGAAAGCGGGGGACCUUCGGGCCUCGCGCGAUCGGAGCGGCCGAUGUCAGACUAGGUAGUUGGUGGGGUAAAGGCCUACCAAGCCGACGAUCUGUAGCUGGUCUGAGAGGACGACCAGCCACACUGGGACGGAGACACGGCCCAGACUCCUACGGGAGGCAGCAGUGGGGAAUGUUGGACAAUGGGCGCAAGCCUGAUCCAGCCAUUCCGCGUGCAGGACGAAGGCCUUCGGGUUGUAAACUGCCUUUGUACGGAACGAAAAGGCUCUGGCUAAUACCUGGGGCUCAUGACGGUACCGUAAGAAUAAGCACCGGCUAACUACGUG